rnacentral:rRNA from 1 species
AUUGAACGCUGGCGGCAUGCUUUACACAUGCAAGUCGAACGGUAACAGGUUAAGCUGACGAGUGGCGAACGGGUGAGUAAUGCGUCGGAACGUGCCCGAUCGUGGGGGAUAACGCAGCGAAAGCUGCGCUAGUACCGCAUACGAUCUGAGGAUGAAAGCGGGGGACCGUAAGGCCUCGCGCGAUCGGAGCGGCCGAUGUCAGAUUAGGUAGUUGGUGGGGUAAAGGCUCACCAAGCCAACGAUCUGUAGCUGGUCUGAGAGGACGACCAGCCACACUGGGACUGAGACACGGCCCAGACUCCUACGGGAGGCAGCAGUGGGGAAUUUUGGACAAUGGGCGAAAGCCUGAUCCAGCAAUGCCGCGUGCAGGAAGAAGGCCUUCGGGUUGUAAACUGCUUUUGUACGGAGCGAAAAGGCUCUCUCUAAUACAGGGGGCUCAUGACGGUACCGUAAGAAUAAGCACCGGCUAACUACGUGCCAGCAGCCGCCGUAA